ensembl:snoRNA
ACCCUUUUGUAGUUUGUAAGUGUGAUGAUUGGGGAUUCACACUCGUGUGUGAGAUGUGUCACCCUCAAACCUUUUCACGUCGGCAAAAUACUCAUCUGACA